AUCGAGCUAAGACUAAAAGUCUCCGAACGUGCAUGCCUUCCAUAUGCGCGUAUACGUGAGCCGCACAGUGAGCUGCACACAUGUGGUGGUGGUGGCCGUCAGCCGUGUUUUUUUGGCAGACAAUGGUCUGUAGCUUGCUGUGUGUUGAGGGGGGAUAGGUGACGUAUUGGGCUAGUUAGAAAGGUACGCCGCGAGCGCCUAUCCUCUCGUUAUUGGCAAAAACGGUAUCCAUUUGGUGUCUACACCCUACCUAGCUACUGCCUGGACCGUCGGUAGCUAUCAAAGGUGGGGAUAAAGCUCCUCGUCUUUACGGCGAGUCGAGUAGACUUAAUGAGUCUCAGCGAGGAGGCCACCAAAACCCAAACACAACCAGUCUUUUGUUUGAAAUGUUGUGAAGGUACUUCCUCGUGUUGUGCCUUUGAAACUGAGUGUAAAUCUUAGCGGUGGAUCACUCGGUUCGUGGAUCGAUGAAGAACGCAGCUAGCUGCGAUAACUAGUGCGAAUUGCAGACACAUUGAGCACUAAGAAUUCGAACGCACAUUGCGCCAUCGGGUUCAUUCCCGUUGGCACGUCUGGCUGAGGGUCGAAUUUGAAUAUCAAACAUCCGUGUGUUUUCCAACUCAUGGUGUAUUCGGCGGGCUAUGAUGGUGUUGUUGGCAAUGUGCUGCGUGUGUGUGUUGCGGCCUCUUUUAAGGAGAGGUCACUUCAUGUGCUCGAGGCAUGGCCGACGCGCCGACAUACCUUGCUAAGGCUUUGUGCCAUAUAUCGCUCGUAAUCAUUUGCUCCAUGCGAGGCGAUGAUGGCCGUCAAGUGUCGCUCUCUUAACCAUAGAUACGGCUCCGAGCACGUGUUUGCCAAUUGGCUAUCGGUUUGGGGUGCCCGUAUCAGAAUUGCUGGAAAUGGAAGAGAGGGUGAUGCUAGGUUGCUGUCACUAUGUUUUGACCUCAGCUCAGUCGUGACUACCCGCUGAAUUUAAGCAUAUAACUA
rnacentral:rRNA from 1 species